rnacentral:rRNA from 1 species
GAUGAACGCUGGCGGCGUGCCUAAUACAUGCAAGUCGAGCGAAUAGAUGAGGAGCUUGCUCCUCUGACGUUAGCGGCGGACGGGUGAGUAACACGUGGAUAACCUACCUAUAAGACUGGGAUAACUUCGGGAAACCGGAGCUAAUACCGGAUAAUAUAUUGAACCGCAUGGUUCAAUAGUGAAAGACGGUUUUGCUGUCACUUAUAGAUGGAUCCGCGCCGCAUUAGCUAGUUGGUAAGGUAACGGCUUACCAAGGCAACGAUGCGUAGCCGACCUGAGAGGGUGAUCGGCCACACUGGAACUGAGACACGGUCCAGACUCCUACGGGAGGCAGCAGUAGGGAAUCUUCCGCAAUGGGCGAAAGCCUGACGGAGCAACGCCGCGUGAGUGAUGAAGGUCUUCGGAUCGUAAAACUCUGUUAUUAGGGAAGAACAAAUGUGUAAGUAACUAUGCACGUCUUGACGGUACCUAAUCAGAAAGCCACGGCUAACUACGCG